UUGCUGGGCGGAUUAGUGGCGAACGGGUGAGUAAUACGUGAGUAACCUGCCCUUGACUCUGGGAUAAGCCUGGGAAACUGGGUCUAAUACUGGAUACUACCUCUUACCGCAUGGUGGGUGGUGGAAAGGGUUUUACUGGUUUUGGAUGGGCUCACGGCCUAUCAGCUUGUUGGUGGGGUAAUGGCUCACCAAGGCGACGACGGGUAGCCGGCCUGAGAGGGUGACCGGCCACACUGGGACUGAGACACGGCCCAGACUCCUACGGGAGGCAGCAGUGGGGAAUAUUGCACAAUGGGCGGAAGCCUGAUGCAGCGACGCCGCGUGAGGGAUGACGGCCUUCGGGUUGUAAACCUCUUUCAGUAGGGAAGAAGCGAGAGUGACGGUACCUGCAGAAGAAGCGCCGGCUAACUACGUGCCAGCAGCCGCGGUAAUACGUAGGGCGCAAGCGUUGUCCGGAAUUAUUGGGCGUAAAGAGCUCGUAGGCGGUUUGUCGCGUCUGCUGUGAAAGCCCGGGGCUCAACCCCGGGUCUGCAGUGGGUACGGGCAGACUAGAGUGCAGUAGGGGAGACUGGAAUUCCUGGUGUAGCGGUGAAAUGCGCAGAUAUCAGGAGGAACACCGAUGGCGAAGGCAGGUCUCUGGGCUGUUACUGACGCUGAGGAGCGAAAGCAUGGGGAGCGAACAGGAUUAGAUACCCUGGUA
rnacentral:rRNA from 1 species